UCCGUAGGUGAACCUGCGGAAGGAUCAUUAUCGUGCCAAAGGCCACCGUCCCUCGGGGUGGUUGGCCUUUGUUACCCUUAUUCUCUGUCUUUGCGCACCACGUUUGUUUCCUUGGCAGGCUUGCCUGCCAUUGAGAACCCCUCAAACCCUUUGCAGUUGCAAUCAACGUCUGAUAAAUCAAUAGUUACAACUUUUAACAAUGGAUCUCUUGGUUCUGGCAUCGAUGAAGAACGCAGCGAAAUGCGAUAAGUAGUGUGAAUUGCAGAAUUCAGUGAAUCAUCGAAUCUUUGAACGCACUUGCGCUCCUUGGUAUUCCUCGGAGCAUGCCUGUUUGAGUAUCAUGAAAUUAUCAAAAUAAAUCUUUUGUUCAUUCGAUUGAUUUUAUUUUGGACUUGGGGGUCUGCAGAUUCACGUCUGCUCCUCUUAAAUUCAUUAGCUGGAUCUCGAUAGACUCGGUUCCACUCGGCGUGAUAAGUAUCACUCGCUGAGGACACUUUGUAAAAAAGGGUGGCCGGGAUUGUCUGUGAACCGCUUCUAAUAGUCCAUUGACUUGGGGACAACAAUAAAUUUAUGGAUCUGGAUCUCAAAUCAGGGUAGGGACUACCCGGCUGGAACUUAAGG
rnacentral:rRNA from 1 species